UUAGUUUUGCUGUAAAUACAGACCUCCAUCCAUCAUCGGUCUCUGGGUGGCUAUAAGAGAUCUAAUUUGUUUCAGAUGCCCUGCGCUUUCUGAGCUGUUCACCAACUCUGUUGACCUGCUGAGAAGACCAAAAGCUGCAGAAGAAUGACUGACAAGGGAGCGCCUUCUCCACCUAUAGAAUAGUCUGCACUAACUGCACCGACUGAGAAUUAGAGGCCAUUUCAGAAGAUUUACAUGCUGUCCCCUUCUUUUUCAGAGGCUUGGUGCUUCAGAAAAGAUUUGAAAGGUGUAAGGCUCUCAUUAGGGAGGCUACAACAUGGUAAUGGAAAACCCACUCUUCCCGCCCCCUCCCCCUUUUUCCCUUUGCUUUUACAAGCCUUGCUUAAGACCUCCAGUUCCCCAGGAAUUUUAUGAAUGCCUAGGAGCAGCCAAAAUAAACUCGUAAAAGAAAGGUUUGGAGAAAAAAAAGGUCAUAGACCUGUACAGCAAGUGCUAAGCAAGAAUUAUUUGAAAGGGGGGAAAAGUGCAGGACUGUAGUGCAAGCCUGUGGUAAUACAUCAAUUUUCUGACCCAAAAAAAAUAUAAAUCCAUGAAUGGGCAUUUAGAAAAGGGAUUCUCCUCCCACUUCUGCCAGUUUAAGCAGCCCACCUGUCUUUGCACCAUUGGUAAUGAAGCUUUACCACUAACUCUGAACCAAAGCCUUGUUUGUUUUUCAGCUUCUCCAGGGCUGAGUUUACACAGUAAGGAGGGUUGAGUUUACACAGGCAGAAAAUAAACUUGUUGGAAGCUCAGUAUCUGACAUGGCUCAUAGAAUCCAACCAGGAAAGCAGCAUUUCUGGAGCUGAAACUUGAAUUAAGGAGCAAUCCCAUCAGGCACUGCACAAAAUGUCAUGGAUGUCCAUGAUGUUCCAUGGAAGGAGGACAUCAAGACUACCUUGAGCACCCUUGUGGGCAAACAGCUGAACAUCCCCUCUUCAUCACUUGAGAUAUUUUGGAGACGAGACCUGGCCUUCACUGAAUGGAAAAAGAGAGAACAUGAAACUUUUGUAUUGUCAAAAUAAAUGAGUCUAAAUGAUGUAUCACUAAUGAAAUGUAUUAAUUUGAGUGACCAAUAAAUAAAAUAUUUGCAUUCUUAA